GACGAACGCUGGCGGCGUGCUUAACACAUGCAAGUCGAACGGAAAGGCCCUGCUUUUGUGGGGUGCUCGAGUGGCGAACGGGUGAGUAACACGUGAGUAACCUGCCCUUGACUUUGGGAUAACUUCAGGAAACUGGGGCUAAUACCGGAUAGGAGCUCCUGCUGCAUGGUGGGGGUUGGAAAGUUUCGGCGGUUGGGGAUGGACUCGCGGCUUAUCAGCUUGUUGGUGGGGUAGUGGCUUACCAAGGCUUUGACGGGUAGCCGGCAUGAGAGGGUGACCGGCCACAUUGGGACUGAGAUCCGGCCCAGACUCCUACGGGAGGCAGCAGUGGGGAAUAUUGCACAAUGGGCGGAAGCCUGAUGCAGCAACGCCGCGUGCGGGAUGACGGCCUUCGGGUUGUAAACCGCUUUCGCCUGUGACGAAGCGUGAGUGACGGUAAUGGGUAAAGAAGCACCGGCUAACUACGUG
rnacentral:rRNA from 1 species